AACGAACGCUGGCGGCAUGCCUAACACAUGCAAGUCGAACGAGACCUUCGGGUCUAGUGGCGCACGGGGGCGUAACGCGUGGGAACCUUCCCUUAGGUUCGGAAUAACUCCCCGAAAGGGGUGCUAAUACCGGAUAAUGUCUUCGGACCAAAGAUUUAUCGCCUUUGGAUGGGCCCGCGUUGGAUUAGCUAGUUGGUAGGGUAAAAGCCUACCAAGGCGACGAUCCAUAGCUGGUCUGUGAGGAUGAUCAGCCACACUGGGACUGAGACACGGCCCAGACUCCUACGGGAGGCAGCAGUGGCGAAUAUUGGAACAUGGGCGAAAGCCUGAACCAGCACUGCCGCGUGAGUGAUGAUGGCCUUAGGGUAGUAAAGCUCUUUUACCCGGGAUGAUCAUGACAGUACCGGGAGAAUAAGCCCCGGCUAACUACGUG
rnacentral:rRNA from 1 species